rnacentral:rRNA from 1 species
GACGAAGGAUGCAGCGUAUCGGAUUCAUUGGUUUGAAAGGGAGCGUAGGUGGCCUUAUAAGUCAGUGGUGAAAUCUCUGGGCUUAACCCAGAAAUUGCCAUUGAUACUGUAGGGCUUGAGUAUAGUUGCCGUUGGCGGAAUAUGACAUGUAGUGGUGAAAUACAUAGAGAUGUCAUAGAACACCGAUUGCGAAGGCAGCUAACGAAACUAUAACUGACACUGAGGCUCGAAAGUGCGGGGAUACAAACAG